AAUCCUCUUCACUCCCUCAAUUGCCAAACUCUUGGUGAAGCUGAAAAGUCUAAAUCUAUCGUCCUGCUCAAGAAUACAAGAAAUAAUCACAAAUGAGAAAGGAGAAAAAGAAAAGCCAUCAGAGAGCAUUGUGUUUCCUGCUUUGGAGGAAUUGAUUCUAUAUGAUCUAGACAACCUCACUUGUUUUAGCUCUGGGUUAUAUACUAUUGAAUUUCCAAAAUUGGAAAUACCAAGGAUAACUUACUGUAGAAAAAUGAAGACCUUCGGUUCUGGAGAGCAAGUGAUACCCAAGCUUAAAGAAGUGUGUCUUGAUUACGUUGAACGUUGGAAUGGCAACCUGAAAAGCACAUUGGAAGAGUUCUUCAAUGAACAGGCACAGAAGGAUGCUGCUGCAAGGAAACCAAAUUAAAGUAGAUAGCGAAAAUG